CAGGUCUUGACAUGGCAUUGACCGGUUCGUAAUGGAACCUUUCCUUCGGGACAAUGUACACAGGUGGUGCAUGGUUGUCGUCAGCUCGUGUCGUGAGAUGUUGGGUUAAGUCCCGCAACGAGCGCAACCCUUAUCUUUAGUAGCCGGCACGUUAAGGUGGGAACUCUAGAGAGACUGCCGAGGAUAACUCGGAGGAAGGUGGGGAUGACGUCAAAUCAUCAUGCCCCUUAUGAUCUGGGCUACACACGUGCUACAAUGGCGGUAACAAAGGGAAGCGAAGGAGUGAUCUGGAGCAAACCCCAGAAAAGCCGUCCCAGUUCGGAUUGUAGUCUGCAACUCGACUACAUGAAGUUGGAAUCGCUAGUAAUCGCGAAUCAGAAUGUCGCGGUGAAUACGUUCC
rnacentral:rRNA from 1 species